GCGGGGAGCGGGAAAAUUGAAGUCCAGAUCGUCGAUGGUUGUCCAAUACUGUCGCAUGCAUACGGAUCGUUCGUUUCGUGAAAUUUUGGCUACGGAUGGAAGAGUUGUUUUGUCAUACGAUUGGUAAAGACUGAACGUCGAUCCGUAUACCGUUGGUAACGGAUGGACUGCGAAUUCACGAUCGGAAAAUAUGAUAUGUGGAUCCGUGAAUCUGCUGGUAAAGCGUGUGUGUUGCUAAGGGAGGCCUCAAAAAUGUUGUCGAUCCGUACCAUUGGUAACGGAUGGACUGCGAAUUCACCAUCGGAAAAUAUGAUAUGUCGAUCCGUGAAUCUGCUGGUAAAGCUUGUGUGUGGCUAUAAGGGAGACCUCAAAAAUGUUGUCGAUCCGUACCAUUGGUAGCCGUUUGUACGCUCACAGUCUACCUCGGUCUGCUCACGUCAGUUCCGGUUCUGUCUAUCUGUCUAUUCACAAUGUAAACAGUCACUGAAAAACCCUGAUAAGGAGUGUGUCGUGUAAUAUCUGUAUAAGAAGCAGCAAGUCUGUAUUUUUGUUGAGGAGAAGCACGUGUUGCGUAUAUCAGACAUCUUGAGGAAUUGCAAGUUGUAUAAUAAUAAUAACAAGACGCCUACUCAGGCGUUCACUCCGGGUACAGGGCCUUCACUAAGGUCUUGUCUAAAAGUACAACACACGAGUGACCACGAAUGACCACGAGUGAUUUCUGUGUUUAAAAGUCAUAAAAUAAUAAUAAAAAUCUAUUUACUACACUUUUGUAUCCAGAAAACCCCUGUUUCUUCACUUUACAAGACACGAAGACGAAAUUCAUUGGACACAUUGACAAUGCUCUCCUGAACAUUGCAAUUUACUACUUUUGCGCUGAAAGUCCGUUACCAUGGUGACAGCGUGUUUGGAUAAUUAAGCUCAAAAUUUGUCUUUUUCCGGCCGUUUUAAA